rnacentral:rRNA from 1 species
CCUACGGGGUGGCAGCAGUGGGGAACAUUGCACAAUGGGGGGAACCCUGAUGCAGCGACGCCGCGUGGGUGAAGGAGUACUUCGGUACGUAAAGCCCUAUCAGCAGGAAAGAAAAUGACGGUACCUGACUAAGAAGCCCCGGCUAACUACGUGCCAGCAGCCGCGGUAAUACGUAGGGGGCAAGCGUUAUCCGGAUUUACUGGGUGUAAAGGGAGCGUAGACGGCAGUGCAAGUCCGGAGUGAAAGCCCGGGGCUCAACCCUGGGACUGCUCUGGAAACUGUAAAGCUGGAGUGCGGGAGGGGCAGGCGGAAUUCCUGGUGUAGCGGUGAAAUGCGUAGAGAUCAAGAGGAAUACUCAUUGCGAAGGCGACCUGCUAGAACAUAACUGACGCUGAUGCGCGAAAGCGUGGGGAGCAAACAGGAUUAGAUACCCGAGUAGUC